UAUUGUUUCACUUGCACAAGUUAGCAACUUGACACUCAUAGGAUAUCUUUUUUUUCUUCUCUUUUCUGGGUUUGAGAAACUUGUUGUUCAAUGGUUCUUGCGUUGAUCAACGAAAAUCCUAAAGCAGACAGCAAUGCAUGAAUCUAAACCCAACCCACCAUGGUUACUGCUUAAAUCAUCAAAAGCCCUGAAGGUUGAUACUUCAUAAGCCCAGCAGAAAGGCCUGAAAUUCGAACCCAGUCAAACAUGGACUGCUUGGGUUCCACCUAACAGAAGGUGCAAAUUUGAGAACUUCAGCUCGCGAAUCCUCACCUGGAAUCUCCAAGAUUCCAUGGACAUAGAGCUGAACUCAUGUUUUAGACACAACUUCUUAAUGGAAAAUACUUUGGGAAGAUAAUUCUUCCAUUACUGUAUUCGUAUUCAAAUUGCACUACCCACUGCCAGACACGAAAAGGUCGUUACGGUAAUUCUCAUGAAAGAAAUAAGUGGCAAAAGUGCUUCAUGUUGAAGCUUUUUUUAUAUGGAAGACUCGUUCCAAUCAAGUCGACAUAACUGUUCUCCAUAUCGCUUGAUCACUUUAUAUCACAAAAAACAGAAAUAUCACUUGCAGGCUAUCCAAUAUAGGAAAGGCUUCUCCAUACCUGCAAUAUCCCCGUAUUGCAUAAGGGCAGAGAUCAUCAAAUCUACAGUGAAGUUCUUUUCUUGUAGCUUCGCUAAGGAGUCCUGUACUGCUAACAUGCCCCUGCAAUUACAGGUGCAAAAUGAUAACAACAAUUUCCACUUCCACACAACUAAAUUUCAAGUAAAGAAGGUUACAUUUAACUAAAAACAAUCCCCUGUAUCCAAAAUCUAAGAAACCCACUUUAUCAUCAACAUUCAAAAGCCAAA
rnacentral:lncRNA from 1 species